ensembl:lncRNA
UGGAAUAUUAUGUUUUUGUUGCUGCAAGCACUUUUUUGCAAUUUUUGCAAAGCUAUAUGUGGAAGGAAAUCGUGACCUCGGACAAGCUGAAUGCAGAAGAUAUCAGAAAACCAACACCAGCAGCAACAAGAACAGCAGGAACACUCAGACCAACGAUCAGUCCAACAGAUCCUCCUGCAGGUGAGAAACAGGUGUGAGGUGUCAGCUGUCAGGUAGGUGAUGAGUGAAGAACAGAACAGAAUCCAUUUCCUCUUCAAACUGCUGUCAGACAUUAUCUACUGCACUCUGAUCACAUCACUCAGACCAGCUGCUUUCUACAAAGUCUCAUCAACAACAUCUUUAGAAACAAACAUCAACAACCAGGAAGCAGCUUCACCUCUGAUCACACACACACUCAACUCUACUCACUCACCUGGAGGAACAACUUUCAGUGUGACGAUACUGAUGGGUUCACCAACUAGAUUAGCUCUCUUCCUCACAUUUGUUCCUCUAAUGAAGGCCUCACACUUGUAUGUUCCAGUGUCAUUAAUCAUCACAUCCUUCAGAAUCAAAGACACGUCUCCAUCCUUCAUCCGUCUGUCCUGCAGAUCCACCCAGUUCUUAAAAGAUGGAUGCUGGUUGGUUGGAUCAAGCUGGUCAUCCCUGUACAAAAGCACAUAUUCAUCUCCCAGCUCAGCUCUGGUCCACUCUACACCGGUGAUGCUGCUGCUGUUGUUUGGAGCUCGACAUGGAAGA